CUUUUUAUACACAGCCUUACCGAUGGAUCACAACC
rnacentral:rRNA from 1 species